GACGAACGCUGGCGGCGUGCUUAACACAUGCAAGUCGAACGGAAAGGCCCCUUCGGGGGUACUCGAGUGGCGCACGGGUGAGUAACACGUGAGUAACCUGCCCUUGACUUCGGGAUAACUUCAGGAAACUGGGGCUAAUACCGGAUAGGAAUCCUUGCUGCAUGGUGGGGGUUGGAAAGCUUCGGCGGUUUUGGAUGGACUCGCGGCUUAUCAGCUUGUUGGUGGGGUAGUGGCUUACCAAGGCUUUGCCGGGUAGCCGGCCUGAGAGGGCGACCGGCCACAUUGGGACUGAGAUACGGCCCAGACUCCUACGGGAGGCAGCAGUGGGGAAGAUUGCACAAUGGGCGGAAGCCUGAUGCAGCAACGCCGCGGGCGGGAUGACGGCCUUCGGGUUGGAAACCGCUUUCAGCAGGGGCGAAGCUUGUGGUGACGGUACCUGCAGAAGAAGCACCGGCUAACUACGUG
rnacentral:rRNA from 1 species